rnacentral:rRNA from 1 species
GACGAACGCUGGCGGCGUGCUUAACACAUGCAAGUCGAACGGUGAAGCGCCUUCCUUUUUGGUGGGUGUGGAUGAAUGGCCAACGGGGGAGUAACACGUUAGUAACCUGCCCCCUUCUUCUGGAUAACCGCAUGAAAGUGUGGCUAAUACGGGAUAUUCUGGGUCUGUCGCAUGAUGGGUCUGGGAAAGUUUUUGUUUCGGUGGGGGAUGGGCUCGCGGCCUAUCAGCUUGUUGGUGGGGUGAUGGCCUACCAAGGCGGUGACGGGUAGCCGGCCUGAGAGGGUGGACGGUCACACUGGGACUGAGACACGGCCCAGACUCCUACGGGAGGCAGCAGUGGGGAAUAUUGCACAAUGGGCGCAAGCCUGAUGCAGCGACGCCGCGUGAGGGAUGGAGGCCUUCGGGUUGUGAACCUCUUUCGCCAGUGAAGCAGGCCUGCCUCGUUUGUGGGUGGGUUGACGGUAGCUGGAUAAGAAGCGCCGGCUAACUACGUG